CUGACGAGUGGCGGACGGGUGAGUAAUGUCUGGGAAACUGCCCGGUGGAGGGGGAUAACUACUGGAAACGGUAGCUAAUACCGUAUAACGUCGCAAGACCAAAGAGGGGGACCUUCGGGCCUCUUGCCACCGGAUGUGCCCAGAUGGGAUUAGCUUGUUGGUGAGGUAACGGCUCACCAAGGCGACGAUCCCUAGCUGGUCUGAGAGGAUGACCAGCCACACUGGAACUGAGACACGGUCCAGACUCCUACGGAAGGCAGCAG
rnacentral:rRNA from 1 species